AACGGUCAACCUAUCUCACCUUCAUCCCCGUACCCAACCCAACCGUACACUCCCAUUUCCUCGUCCUCACCUCUCUAUUAUGGCGGCGAAACCAAUAUAAAAGCUUCACACCAUUGAAAUUCAAAACCAAAAUCAUCAUCAACAAACUGUCUCAACAAAUCAUCAGACAUUAUAGUAUACCCACUUCUCAAACCUCGGUUAUAUAGAUCGAUCAAUUGACAUGUCUGGUGGCGUGAAGAUAGUGAUCAUCAAUACAGAGUAUGUAGAAACCGAUGCCACCAGCUUCAAGUCCGUCGUUCAGAGACUCACUGGCAAAGAUUCCACUGUGGGGUUGGGCCGGGGAGUUGAGCCGACUUCUCGGGGCUUGGUUACCGGAGGAAGGGCGGUGGUAGAGGCAAGUGAGGUCGUUGAAAGGUCCGGUGGUGGUGGCAGUGGUUCAAUUAUGUCAAAAGUAGUGUCGUUCAAGGAUUUUGAUAGAAUGCUCAUGGAAAUGCCGCCUAUGGAUGAACUUUAUCGGCUAUUUACGGAUUGACGCGGUGGGAAGAGGUUAAAUUAGUCCAAAAGACACGUGGCAUUCUCUUAUUCAUUUGGAAGUUAAAAAAAGUUAUAAAGAUAAUGGAGAAUAUGAAGGACAAAGUGGAUGAGUGGAAUGACACAUGGCAAGACAAGAAUGAAGAUGAAAGAAAUUGGUAGUUACUGAGUAGUUAUUGCUGUAUUUUUUCUUCUAUAAAUAGCCAUUAAUGGCUACAUUGUAAAGGAUCCAGAAUUCAUAAUCAAAGACACUUAAUUUCAAUA